rnacentral:lncRNA from 1 species
UUUUAAAAGACAACAAGAAGCCUUACAAAAAAAAGCUUGCUGAAAAAUACAUCAACGACUUAGAGUAAUAAACAGUCGAGCCACACAGACUCAGGCACUGGAGAAGAUGCCAUAUAAAGCCACAUCAGUGACCUUCACUCUUUCAAGAGCACUGACCCACCCGCAUCUCUCUGAUGCCCCAGCAGUCCUGUGUGGUGGGCAAGGCAGAGGCCUGCCAGCAAUUUAAUAGGCUAGGUGAUGGGUUUUGUUCACCACAGAAAACUGCACAUAUGUCUUUGGUAGGCACUGCUCUGCAGGCCUGAAAUGGAUCACAAUGAUACAUCCAGCUUCUCUACAAGGGCAGAAACCGCAUCAUGCAGCUCCGUCUCCUAGGGCUCCAGUCUGAUGCCCCGCAUAUAGUCAGGGC